rnacentral:lncRNA from 1 species
UUUUCUUUUUUAAAAAUUAAAUUAAUUCUAAUCUUUUUUACAGGUCCUUCUCUAUUUAUAUAUAGAAUUUUAUUUUUCAAACAAUUACAAGAAUUGUACAUGACUGUGAUGGCAGAAUUACAACUUUUUAACAACUACCUGCGUUAAACAGGUAUUAAUCUAAAAUUGAGGAUUACAGAAAUUGAAGAAUAACUAUUAAAAAAUGUUUAGAUGAGCCCGAAACAGAAAUGGGCGACUGAAGGUGACUUGGGAGCCAAAACCGGUGAGACGAGAUCACCUCCUUGACGGCAGAUCAGUUGACUUCACCCUUUGGAAAAAAGACUCCGAAUAAUGAUGAAUGCCAAAAGGCGCAGCGGGGGAAAAAGCAAAGUGCAGAAAAAUCCCCCGAUGGUAACUAGUCCGAAAACGUGAAGAAUAUGGGCGGAAAUCCCAAAGAAAGAGGUUAAGCCGCAUCCCUGGUAGCGAUGUGCGAGCAGGCGGAGCAGGUGGCGAUAUUUCAAACUAUUUCAUUAAGCCGGUUUGCCCAGGAACACCAAAAAGACGCACAUAAACUAAUGGCGCGGCUCAUGAGGUUGAGCUGCAUCUCUGGUAGCACUGUGUGAGCAGGCGGGGCGGGUGGCGAUAUUUCAGACUAUUUCAUUAAGCCGGUUGCCCAGGGACACCAAAAAUACGCACAAGAGUUAAUGAUGCAGCUCAAGGAGUGCGAGUUUUCACCGGCGCCCGGAGGGGUGUAGAAUUUCCCUCUUUCGUCCGAUAUUUAAACUCUACGCGCUGAACGGAGAUGUAAACCUCUCUAUUUAGGUACAAAAACAUAAGCGAGAUAAUUGGGAGUGUUUUAUACCAUGUCCCUGAUGAGAGUCAGAAUAAGGUCAAAAUUUUGGAAAAGAACUCGUCCCCCUGUAUGCAGGAUCCUACUUGUGUUUUGGUAGAUCCUUUCACUGACCAAGUUAUCGCAGAACCCUGCAGCCAAUGCAUUUCUCCUGCCGGAGGUUCGUCCAUGUCUCCUCUUCCAGAUUUUGAAGGAGACUUUAGAGAAGAAUCAUCCUUUGAAUUUAAUACACCUAUUCAUGAGCCGUUCAAUGUCCUAGAAGAAAACGACUUGCAGUCUGUCAUUACCAUCCUCUUCUUCCAUCUGUAAUUGCUCGUUGACUACCACCGCCGAUUGAUCGAGAGUUCUUUUCUCCUGCUGGGAUGAAAUAGCUGGAAUCGACAUUAAGAGAGACACUUUUAGAGUAAUAACAUGUUGCUUGUAUUGCUUGUAAACUGUUAUUACUGCAUGCGGUAUUGCUGCUAUCAAUCUCAACUUCUUCAUCCUUCAAAUCUAUAAUUUCUAUACCGGGGUCCAUUUCUAGUCUUACGUACCUGAUGAUUUCAUUAUAUUGACUACACAAGGUUUCAUUUAACAAGCCAAACCAGGCUUCAGGGCCCUCCUCCCAACCCCAGGUGCCCCCUGAAUAUCGGCACUGCUUCCCCGAUUCCUGUUUCCAGUUCUCAGAAUCAGGAAUUUAUAGUUUCGGUGAGUGUGGAGAUUCCCCCUCCAACCUUGAGGACGAGGAAGCUCAGUGAUCUCAUGCUCAUGUAGUUUCUACAUGUAACUAUUUCCUAUGCUGCUUCGUGUGCAAAUUAACCCUGCAGUG